CCUACGGGUGGCAGCAGUGGGGAAUAUUGCGCAAUGGGCGCAAGCCUGAUGCAGCGACGCCGCGUGAAGGAAGAAGUCUUUCGGUAUGUAAACUUCUAUCAGCAGGGACGAAGAUGACGGUACCUGACUAAGAAGCCCCGGCUAACUACGUGCCAGCAGCCGCGGUAAUACGUCGGGGGCAAGCGUUAUCCGGAAUUACUGGGUGUAAAGGGAGCGUAGGCGGUAUCGCAAGUCAGAAGUGAAAGCCCGGGGCUUAACGCCGGGACUGCUUUUGAAACUGUUGAACUAGAGUGCCGGAGAGGAAAGUGGAAUUCCUAGUGUAGCGGUGAAAUGCGUAGAUAUUAGGAGGAACACCAGUGGCGAAGGCGGCUUACUGGACUGUAAAUGACGCUGAGGCUCGAAAGCGUGGGGAGCAAACAGGAUUAGAUACCCGAGUAGUC
rnacentral:rRNA from 1 species